AUUGAACGCUGGCGGCACGCCUAACACAUGCAAGGCGAGGGGGCAGCAAUGUCACCGUUGUACGGGUGCGUAACGCGUAUGCAACCUACCUUCAACUGGGGGAUAGCCCGGGGAAACCCGGAUUAAUACCGCAUAACACAGGGGGCCCUCAUGUGUCUAUUUGUUAAAGAUUUAUUGGUUGAAGAUGGGCAUGCGUUCGA
rnacentral:rRNA from 1 species